rnacentral:rRNA from 1 species
GGGCGUUAGGCUGGAGUAUUUUAUUACCCUUGUCUUUUGCGCACUUGUUGUUUCCUGGGCGGGUUCGCCCGCCUCCAGGACCACAUGAUAAACCUUUUUUAUGCAGUUGCAAUCAGCGUCAGUACAACAAAUGUAAAUCAUUUACAACUUUCAACAACGGAUCUCUUGGUUCUGGCAUCGAUGAAGAACGCAGCGAAAUGCGAUACGUAGUGUGAAUUGCAGAAUUCAGUGAAUCAUCGAAUCUUUGAACGCACAUUGCGCCCUUUGGUAUUCCAAAGGGCAUGCCUGUUCGAGCGUCAUUUGUACCCUCAAGCUUUGCUUGGUGUUGGGCGUUUUUUGUCUUUGGUUUGUCCAAAGACUCGCCUUAAAACGAUUGGCAGCCGGCCUACUGGUUUCGCAGCGCAGCACAUUUUUGCGCUUGCAAUCAGCAAAAAGGACGGCACUCCAUCAAGACUCUAUAUCACUUUUGACCUCGGAUCAGGUAGGGAUACCCGCUGAACUUAAGCAUAUCAAUAAGCGGAGGA